AUUAAAUUGCUCUGUAAUGGGAUGGGAUCCGAAGACCUCCGAGGGAUAACAUAGGCUCUCCCAUCCAACUCCUAUUCCGACACGUCCUCGUCGUGCAGAGUGGUAACAUGCCUCCAUAUAUCCUAGCUUGGGUACACGGGCUAGAUCCAACCCCUUGGGCGGAUGGUGGCAUAUGGCGAACAAGGAGGGG
rnacentral:ribozyme from 1 species